rnacentral:sRNA from 1 species
UACUAGGAUGGGUGACCUCCCG